rnacentral:rRNA from 1 species
UUCCGGUUGAUCCUGCCGGAGGCCAUUGCUAUCGGGGUCCGAUUUAGCCAUGCUAGUUGUGCGGGUUAGACCCGCAGCAAAUAGCUCCGUAACACGUGGCCAAACUACCCUACAGAGACGGAUACCCUCGGGAAACUGAGGCUAACCCGUCAUACCGAUCUCAGGCUUGAAUCGCAGAGAUCACCAAACGCUCCGGCGCUGUAGGAUGUGGCUGCGGUUGAUUAGGUUGACGGUGGGGUAACGGCCCACCGUGCCCAUAAUCAGUACAGGUUGUGAGAGCAAGAACCUGGAGACGGAAUCUGAGACAAGAUUCCGGGCCCUACGGGGCGCAGCAGGCGCGAAACCUUUACACUGCACGCACGUGCGAUAAGGGGACUCCGAGUGCGAGGGCAUAUCGUCCUCGCUUUCGUGUACCGUAGGGUGGUACACCAACAAGGGCUGGGCAAGACCGGUGCCAGCCGCCGCGGU